AAUCAACGCUGGCGGCGUGCCUCAGACAUGCAAGUCGAACGAUUAAAGCUCUCUUCGGAGAGUGCAUAAAGUGGCGCACGGGUGAGUAACACGUAAGUAAUCUACCUUCGAGUGGGGAAUAACGUCCGGAAACGGACGCUAAUACCGCAUAAUGCAGCGGCACCUAAUGGUGACAGUUGUUAAAGGAGCAAUCCGCUUGAAGAGGAGCUUGCGGCAGAUUAGGUAGUUGGUAAGGUAAUGGCUUACCAAGCCUGCGAUCUGUAACCGGUCUUAGAGGACGGUCGGUCACACUGGCACUGAAUAACGGGUCAGACUCCUACGGGAGGCAGCAGUCGGGAAUUUUGGGCAAUGGGCGAAAGCCUGACCCAGCAACGCCGCGUGAAGGAUGAAGUAUUUCGGUAUGUAAACUUCGAAAGAAUGGGAAGAAUCAAUGACGGUACCAUUUAUAAGGUCCGGCUAACUACGUGCCAGCCGCCGCCGUAAGAC
rnacentral:rRNA from 1 species